rnacentral:rRNA from 1 species
GAGUUUGAUCUUGGCUCAGGACGAACGCUGGCGGUGUGCUUAAUACAUGCAAGUCGAACGAUGAGGUUCUUUCGGGAACUAUCAGUGGCGGACGGCUGAGCAACACGUAGAUAACGUGCCCUUUACUGGGGGAUAACACCGGGAAACCGGUGCUAAUACCGCAUAAGUCAUCUGUUGCAAUACAGAUGAUUAAAGAUUUAUCGGUAAGGGAUCGGUCUGCGUCUGAUUAGCUAGUUGGUAGGGUAAAGGCCUACCAAGGCAAUGAUCAGUAGUUGGUCUGAGAGGAUGACCAGCCAGAGUGGGACUGAGACACGGGCCCACACUUCUACGGAAGGCAGCAGUAGGGAAUUUUGCGCAAUGGGCGAAAGCCUGACGCAGCAACACCGCGUGCGGGAUGACGGUCUUCGGAUUGUAAACCGCUGUCAGCAGGGAAUAAAAAUAGACUGUACCUGCAAAGGAAGCAUCGGCUAACUAACGUG